GAUGAACGCUAGCGGCAGGCUUAAUACAUGCAAGUCGAGGGGCAGCACAGGUAGCAAUACUGGGUGGCGACCGGCAAACGGGUGCGGAACACGUACGCAACCUUCCUUUAAGUGUGGGAUAGCCCAGGGAAACUUGGAUUAAUACCACGUAAUAUAAUUGAGUGGCAUCACUUGAUUAUUAUAGCUCCGGCGCUUAAAGA
rnacentral:rRNA from 1 species